ACCACGCCCCCCAACCCCGCGCGCCAGCCGGGAGCGGGGCCUGGCGGCCUUGGGGGCCGGCUGAGCUCCCGGCGCGGCGGUCUGAAGAGUUGGCGGACGGGCGGUCGAAGCGCCGAGCCCGGGGCGGGAGACGGCGGCCGCGCUGACCUCUCGGCUUUGCGGGGCUUGGCGCAGAGGCCCGCGGGGUUCACUUCCUUGAAAGUGAAGAAAGUGAAAGAAACCUUUCUUGACUACUCCAUGGGCAAUAACAACCCCACCUACUCUUUUUUCUUAACAGGAAUUAGUUUAUUCAUGAUGAACUACACACUUUUGUUUGGAAAACUGCAUUCCUUCUUACAGCUUCAAUAACACUAUGAUGUUCCCUGAUUAACACCUUAAACGAGAGAUUUUGUGAUUAAAGAUGGGAGCAGCAGGCAAGAAAAAUUCAUAGAUCAUGCUGCAGAUUCCAGCACUGGCAAAUGGAUGGAUAUUGGUGCAUUUUAUUAAACUAGAGACCAUAGGAUUUCUCACAGACAUAUUUGCGAGAAAAGGUAAACACAGUUUUGGACACACUGAGGUAAAAGUUCUAUAAAUUUGCACGUGGACAUGUGCAACAGUCAGUUUCUGCCUUACUUUGAGAGAGAUUUGGGCUGAAGUUAUGAAUUUGAAAAAUAUCAAAGUUCAUUGAGUUCAUUAGAGUGUGAAGAUUGAAAAGGCAGAGGGUCAAAGAUACACCUAGAGAAAAGUCAACGUGUAAAAUUAGUGGAAGAAGAAGAAGAGAUUGAAAAGUUUUGGGUGGAAAUGAAAACAAACAAAUCUAGGUCAAUAUACAAAGAAAUUGAAGAGGUUUAGAGGAGUUUGGAGUUGUUAGUGCUAAAUAUUGCUAAGUAGUCAAGAAAGGUGGGUUUUUUGGGG
rnacentral:lncRNA from 1 species